UACGGGGGGGGCAAGCGUUGUUCGGAAUUACUGGGCGUAAAGGGCCAGUAGGCGGCCAACUAAGUCCGACGUGAAAUCCCAAGGCUUAACCUUGGAACUGCGUCGGAUACUGGAUGGCUUGAAUUCGGGAGAGGGAUGCAGAAUUCCAGGUGUAGCGGUGAAAUGCGUAGAUAUCCGGAGGAACACCGGUGGCGAAGGCGGCUUCCUGGACCGACACUGACGCUGAGGCGCGAAAGCUAGGGGAGCAAACGGG
rnacentral:rRNA from 1 species